CCUACGGGAGGCAGCAGUAAGGAAUCUUCCACAAUGGACGAAAGUCUGAUGGAGCAACGCCGCGUGCAGGAUGAAGGCUUUCGGGUCGUAAACUGCUUUUAUAUGGGAAGAUUAUGACGGUACCAUAUGAAUAAGGACCGGCUAACUACGUGCCAGCAGCCGCGGUAAUACGUAGGGUCCAAGCGAUAUCCGGAAUUACUGGGCGUAAAGCGUGUGUAGGUGGAUUAAUAAGUGUGAUGCGAAAUCCGGCGGCUCAACCGUUUGGACUGUGUCGCAUACUGUUAGUCUAGAGGACGGCAGAGGUAAGUGGAAUUACGGGUGUAGCAGUGAAAUGCGUAGAUAUCCGUAGGAAUACCAAUGGCGAAGGCAGCUUACUGGGCCACACCUGACACUGAGACACGAAAGCGUGGGGAGCGAACAGGAUUAGAUACCCUGGUAGUCCACGCCGUAAACGAUGCAUACUAUUAGUAUGGGGUAUCGACCCCCUGUGCUGAGAAGCUAACGCGAUAAGUAUGCCGCCUGGGGAGUACGAGCGCAAGCUUAAAACUCAAAGGAAUUGACGGCGNGAGAGNGCGACGACGACGACGAGGGAGGAGG
rnacentral:rRNA from 1 species